GGUAGAAUGGCCGCGCGGUCUAAGGCGCUGGUUUAAGGCACCAGUCAUUUCGAUGGUCGUGGGUUCGAAUCCCACUGUUGCCA
rnacentral:tRNA from 1 species